CUACUCAGAAGCACAUAUACAAAAAUUGGAACUAUACAGAGAAAAUUAACAUGGCCCCUGGACAA
rnacentral:snRNA from 14 species